ACCUUUACUACUUGGAUAAACCGUGGUAAUUCUAGAGCUAAUACAUGCUUAAAAUCCCGACUCCGGAAGGGAUGCAUUUAUUAGAUUUAAAAACCAAUGGGGGCCCUCCUCGGGCUUUCUCUGGUGAUUCAUGAUAACUGCGCGAACCGCAUGGCCUCGCGCCGGCGGUGGUUCAUUCAAAUUUCUUCCCUAUCAACUUUCGAUGUUUGGGUAGUGGCCAAACAUGGUUGCAACGGGUAACGGAGGGUUAGGGCUCGGCCCCGGAGAAGGAGCCUGAGAAACGGCUACUACAUCCAAGGAAGGCAGCAGGCGCGCAAAUUACCCAAUCCCGACACGGGGAGGUAGUGACGAUAAAUACCGAUACAGGGCUCUUUUGGGUCUUGUAAUUUGGAAUGAGUACAAUUUAAAUCCCUUAACGAGGAACAAUUGGAGGGCAAGUCUGGUGAAUGUGUUUGCUGGCGCCAGAGAUAGCCGCCCCUCGAUAAAUAAAGCAGGCUAGUCGAGUGCUCAUGGAGUGACGGGUGAGCACCGGCGAGACCACCUGGUUCGGGGAAGGCUAAGGGUCGCCGCAUGGGGGGGCCUAUGCUGAUCCCGAGCAGAGCCGGUAUUUCGCGGCCUGUGUAGAGCGCGCCAAGGUGUCGGUUCCGGGACCCUCUCCCUCUGCCAGCGCGGAGCCCGGGUUUUCCCGGGGCUUAAGGUACGUGCCAAUCCCCUGCGAAAGCAGGGCCCUGCGGACGAGCGCCGUUACGCGAAGCCGCAGGGGGGGCCUCUUAGCCGGGCCGCGAUCUCAGCAGUUUCCAUCUCCGGGGGCUCGAGCAAAAGAUCAAGGGGUGUUCAGCACAGCUCAGCACAGCUCAGCACAGCUCAGCACAGCUCAGCACAGCUCAGCACAGCUCAGCACAGCUCAGCACAGCUCAGCACAGCUCAGCACAGCUCAGCACAGCUCAGCACAGCUCAGCACAGCUCAGCACAGCUCAGCACAGCUCAGCACAGCUCAGCACAGCUCAGCACAGCACAGCGCAGCGCAGCACGCGUGCCGUGGGGAGGGAUCGCUUGCUUUUUUGGCUCCCGGAUGCCUUAAAUGGCCAGCAGCCGCGGUAAUUCCAGCUCCAAUAGCGUAUAUUAAAGUUGUUGUGGUUAAAAAGCUCGUAGUUGAACCUUGGGCCUGGCCGGCCGGUCCGCCUCACCGCGUGCACUGGUCCGGCCGGGCCUUCCCCCCCCCGUUUUGGAACCCCAUGCCCUUCGCUGGGCGUGGCGGGGAAACGGGACUUUGGUUACUUUGAAAAAAUUAGAGUGCUCCAGGCAGGCCUAUGCUCGAAUACCUUAGCAUGGAAUAAUGAAAUAGGGCGUGCGGUUCUGUUUUGUUGGUUUCUAGGACCGCCGUAAUGAUUAAUAGGGACAGUCGGGGGCAUCAGUAUUCAAUUGUCAGAGGUGAAAUUCUUGGAUUUAUUGAAGACUAGCUACUGCGAAAGCAUUUGCCAAGGAUGUUUUCAUUAAUCAGGAACGAAAGUUAGGGGAUCGAAGACGAUCAGAUACCGUCGUAGUCUUAACCAUAAACUAUGCCGACUAGGGAUCGGACGGAUGUUAUCUUUUGACUCGUUCGGCACCUUGCGAGAAAUCAAAGUGCUU
rnacentral:rRNA from 1 species